rnacentral:rRNA from 1 species
AGUGAACGCUGGCGGUAGGCCUAACACAUGCAAGUCGAACGGCAGCACAGUAAGAGCUUGCUCUUACGGGUGGCGAGUGGCGGACGGGUGAGGAAUACAUCGUAAUCUACUUUUUCGUGGGGGAUAACGUAGGGAAACUUACGCUAAUACCGCAUACGACCUACGGGUGAAAGCAGGGGAUCUUCGGACCUUGCGCGAAUGAAUGAGCCGAUGUCGGAUUAGCUAGUUGGCGGGGUAAAGGCCCACCAAGGCGACGAUCCGUAGCUGGUCUGAGAGGAUGAUCAGCCACACUGGAACUGAGACACGGUCCAGACUCCUACGGGAGGCAGCAGUGGGGAAUAUUGGACAAUGGGCGCAAGCCUGAUCCAGCCAUACCGCGUGGGUGAAGAAGGCCUUCGGGUUGUAAAGCCCUUUUGUUGGGAAAGAAAAGCAGCAGGUUAAUACCCCGCUGUUCUGACGGUACCCAAAGAAUAAGCACCGGCUAACUUCGUG